UACGAAGGGGGGCUAGCGUUGCUCGGAAUCACUGGGCGUAAAGCGCACGUAGGCGGCUUUUUUAAGUCAGUGGUGAAAUCUCCGGGCUCAACCCGGAAACUGCCAUUGAUACUAUCAGUCUUGAAUUUUGUUGAGGUAGGCGGAAUAUAUCAUGUAGCGGUGAAAUGCUUAGAUAUGAUAUAGAACACCGAUUGCGAAGGCAGCUUACUAAGCAAAUAUUGACGCUGAGGCACGAAAGCGUGGGGAUCAAACAGG
rnacentral:rRNA from 1 species